UGAGUUCUCCCUGAGACUUUAAGUCUCCUGAAGGAACGUUGAAGACGACGACGUUGAUAGGCCGGGUGUGUAAGCGCAGCGAUGCGUUGAGCUAACCGGUACUAAUGAACCGUGAGGCUUAACCUU
rnacentral:rRNA from 1 species